GCCAAACUCAAAUCAUUAGAGACACUGAUCACGUGGUGUAUAUUUUGGAAAGUGGUAAUUGAAAAUAUUCAUUGGCAACUGUGUUGAGGAAUGCAUAUUUCAUGACAGGUUUAAUAUCGGGAUUAUUCAAGAGGUUGCGGCCCAUUUAGGGUUACAUAUGAAUAUCAUUUUGUAACAAAUAUAAAAGAUGAUUGGUAAUUUUGUGUGUCUGUGAUCAAUGGAGAAGAAUGCCUUGUUGUAAACAUAUGAACUGGUCUUUCUUACCAUAAUUAAAAUUCGUAUAGAGACGAUUAUUACUGCCCUGGUUUGCUUGGAAGGUGAAUGUAGAUAUAUCUCGAUUUUAAGAUUUAGUGAUCUAAUUGUGCGUAGUCCUAGGAUGAAUAGUACUCUCCUAUGGCUAAACAUUGGUGUAUGGUAUGUUGAACACACAGUGACAUGUAUUUAAAAUUAUUUUAUAGCUAUCUAAAGUUGGAUUUGGUAAGGACAAGAAGAUACAUGCUUGACAGGCAUGAACAUGUCUCAAGUCAAAAUGUUGAUUUAGAUGCAUUAUAGGUUACAUGAUAAUAUACACGGGUUUGGAAAACAAAGAUCGAAAUUUGGUAGCCAAUCCAAUAAAGGGAGAAGUUGCACAGCAUUUGAAGUAUAUCCAGUGAUCAUAGUUCCGCUAUCCAAACAAAUCACAUAGAACUACAAAACAGUUGAAAUUUUGAUUUCUUAAGCUGUUAAAUGCUAAUAGUUCCAUGAUCCUAGAAAAAAAGAAAAAAGAAAAAAAGAACUGCCACUAGUUUCUUUCUUUUAUCUUGUUAUAUGUUUAUCCAAUUCUUGGUUCAAUGUUGCAAUAGCAUUAUUUAUAAAAAUUCUUGACACAACGUG
rnacentral:lncRNA from 1 species